AUGAUAAACAAUUCAGAGGUUUUUGUACGACGGCUCAAUGAGUUUGUAUCACUGUGGUGGACUUUUGGUGGAGGAACCAGGCUGGAUGUUAACUUGGAAAAUACCCGUCCCACCCUGACAGUGCUGCCCCCCUCCAGUGAGGAUCUGCAGCAGGGGAAGGCCACCCUCAUGUGUCUGGCCAACAAGGGUUUCCCCUCAGACUGGAGUCUGUCCUGGGAGGUGGACGGCAGCAUUAACACCUUCACCUGGGAGGAGAACAAGAGCAGAGGAGUUAUGCAGAAGGACGGCUUCUACAGCUGGAUCAGCACCCUGAGGCUCCCUGCAGACCAGUGGAGGAAGGUGGGCUCUGUGACCUGUGAGGCCACCCAGGGCUCCCAGUCUGCAGUCACAGAUACACUGAGGAGAGACCAGUGCUCCCAGUACUGA